rnacentral:rRNA from 1 species
CAGCCGCCGCGGUAAUACGGAGGGUGCAAGCGUUACUCGGAAUCACUGGGCGUAAAGCGCGCGCAGGCGGCCUUGUAAGUUGGAUGUGAAAGCCUACGGCUCAACCGUAGAACUGCAUCCAAAACUACUCGGCUAGAGUGUGGGAGGGGAAGAUGGAAUUAGUUGUGUAGGGGUAAAAUCCGUAGAGAUAACUAGGAAUACCAAAAGCGAAGGCAAUCUUCUGGAACACUACUGACGCUGAGGCGCGAAAGCGUGGGGAGCAAACAGGAUUAGAUACCCUGGUAGUCCACGCCCUAAACUAUGAAUGUUAGUCGUCGGGAGGCUCGUCCUUUCGGUGAUGCAGCUAACGCAUUAAACAUUCCGCCUGGGGAGUACGGUCGCAAGAUUAAAACUCAAAGGAAUAGACGGGGACCCGCACAAGUGGUGGAGCAUGUGGUUUAAUUCGAAGAUACGCGAAGAACCUUACCUAGCCUUGACAUUGAUAGAAUCCGGUAGAGAUACUGGAGUGCCCUUCGGGGAGCUUGAAAACAGGUGCUGCACGGCUGUCGUCAGCUCGUGUCGUGAGAUGUUGGGUUAAGUCCCGCAACGAGCGCAACCCUCGUCACUAGUUACUAACGGUUCGGCCGAGGACUCUAGUGAGACUGCCUUCGUAAGGAGGAGGAAGGUGAGGACGACGUCAAGUCAUCAUGGCCCUUACGGCUAGGGCAACACACGUGCUACAAUGGCCAGGACAGUGAGACGCAAUACCGCGAGGUGGAGCAAAUCUAUAAACCUGGUCUCAGUUCGGAUUGUAGUCUGCAACUCGACUACAUGAAGCUGGAAUCACUAGUAAUCGUAGAUCAGCUAUGCUACGGUGAAUACGUUCCCGGGUCUUGUACUCACCGCCCGUCACACCAUGGGAGUUGAUUUCACCCGAAGCGGGGAAGCUAAACUGGCUACCCUCCACGGUGGGAUCAGCGACUGGGGUGAAGUCGUAACAAGGUACCCGUA